ACAGUAUUUAACCAACAUGUCCAGAUAUUACCAAUAGUUAACCAAACACUUUGGAUUAAUUCCCUUUACUAAGCAUUGUUUCUUGCAGCUGUUACCUGCUCAUUUACCCCUUGCCCUUGGACAAAAGCAACCACUGCAACUCAGAUAAGAGUUACCGAUUUUUUAAACAGCUUUAGUAGGGUAUACUUUUUUACAUGUGAAGAUAAAAAUUAUCUAGCAUCUCAAGAUGAUGAACUUUAAUUCUGAAUACAUAGAGUACUUUACACUUUAAGCAGGAGCUAUCAGAUCUCUUCUUUUGACUUGAACAAAACCUUAAGAACAAGAAUGAUUUCUUAUCAGAAUAAUAUCGUGCCUUCUGAAAGAGUUGUGAUUGCUUGCUAAUGCAGACUCCAACUAUAAAACGAAGAGAAAAAGACAAAACAUGAAAGAAAAAGAAGGAAAACGCAACUCAAAAUCAUGUUGUUAAGCCAUUGGAACUGACAUACUAAGCUCUGUUGUGUGCUACACUGAAUUAGCUAUGCAUACUGAGACUUAAAUGGAUAACAAGAUAUUUCAAUUAAUCAUGGACUUGGAUCGCAAGAAGCAGCAGGACUGUAAGCCCAUCCUGUUCAUCAAUCUCUCUGUAAACAGUAGAAUUGCCUUUAAAAUCAAUGCACACAAACUGACUUCACAGCACUCCAACUUUAGUGGACCAAUUUCUGAAAUCCUGAAAAUCAGAAUCUUGUUAAAAAAGCAAAACUAUGCCUGUGCUCUGUAAACCAGGUGAUUGCUGUUGCAUUUGUAAUUUUGUACUCUUCUUAAAUGUAAUAGAUAUGCAGAACUUUUAGUCAGAUUAUUCAUGUAGCUUUUUAUAUUAUGAAGUUCAUUUGCAGAAACUAAGUAGCAUUUAUAAGCAUUUUUGUUCCAUUAAUAAUGAGAAGGAAUCAUACGUCUGAAUUUUGUAGCAGAACCUCCAGAUACUGGCUGCUGAGUACCUCAAGCAUAUCCUUUGAAUCAGAAUAAUUUAGGUUGGAAAAGAACUUCAAGAUCAUCAAUUCCAACCAUUAAAUAGCACUGCCAAGUCCACCACUACACCAUGUCCCUAAGCACCACAGCCACAGGUCUUUUAAAUACCUUCAGGGAUGGUGACUCAGGCGCUUCCCUGGGCAGCCUGUUCCAGUGAUUGACAACCCUUUCAGUGAAG
rnacentral:lncRNA from 1 species